rnacentral:rRNA from 1 species
GCUUUACUGUUCCCUGGCAUUGGUCUCGGCCUUCCUGCGCAGCUAGGUGGGAGGCACAGAAGCUCCUCUUCCGGGAGGGUCAAGCCAUCCGUGAGAGACCACCUGGAAGGCUAAGAUCCUAACAAUUGGAACCGUGUCAGCAGACAGUUUCUCUGGGCAGAGGCCUCCAAAGAGUAAUGGAGCGUGCAAAGUCCUCAGGCUGGACGGAUCAGUUAGAGUGUAAGGCAGAAGGAGCUUGACUGCAAGACACAAGUCGAGCAGGACGAAAGUCGGCCUUAGUGAUCCGACGUGCCGAGUGAAGGGCGUCGCUUAUCGAGUAA